CAGCCGCCACGGGAAUACGAAGGGUGCAAGCGUUACUCGGAAUUACUGGGCGUAAAGCGUGCGUAGGUGGUGGUUUAAGUCCGUUGUGAAAGCCCUGGGCUCAACCUGGGAAUUGCAGUGGAUACUGGAUCACUAGAGUGUGGUAGAGGAUAGUGGAAUUUCCGGUGUAGCAGUGAAAUGCGUAGAGAUCGGAAGGAACAUCUGUGGCGAAGGCGACUAUCUGGGCCAACACUGACACUGAGGCACGAAAGCGUGGGGAGCAAACAGGAUUAGAUACCCCCGUAGUCCCUGUCUCUUAUAC
rnacentral:rRNA from 1 species